AUUGAACGCUGGCGGCAGGCCUAACACAUGCAAGUCGAGCGGAUGAAGGGAGCUUGCUCCUGGAUUCAGCGGCGGACGGGUGAGUAAUGCCUAGGAAUCUGCCUGGUAGUGGGGGAUAACGUCCGGAAACGGGCGCUAAUACCGCAUACGUCCUGAGGGAGAAAGUGGGGGAUCUUCGGACCUCACGCUAUCAGAUGAGCCUAGGUCGGAUUAGCUAGUUGGUGGGGUAAAGGCCUACCAAGGCGACGAUCCGUAACUGGUCUGAGAGGAUGAUCAGUCACACUGGAACUGAGACACGGUCCAGACUCCUACGAGAAGGAGCAGUGGGGAAUAUUGGGCAACAGGCGGAAGCCUGAUCCAGCCAUGCCACGUGUGUGGAAAAGAUCUUCGGAUUGUAAAGCACUUUAAGGUGGGAGGAAGGGCAGUAAGUUAAUACCUUGCGGUUGUGACGUUAACGACAGAAUAAGCACCGGCUAACUUCGUG
rnacentral:rRNA from 1 species